AUGAACGCUAGCUACAGGCUUAACACAUGCAAGUCGAGGGGCAGCAUCAUCAAAGCUUGCUUUGAUGGAUGGCGACCGGCGCACGGGUGAGUAACACGUAUCCAACCUGCCGACAACACUGGGAUAGCCUUUCGAAAGAAAGAUUAAUACCGGAUGGUAUAGUUUUCCCGCAUGGGGUGACUAUUAAAGAAUUUCGGUUGUCGAUGGGGAUGCGUUCCAUUAGGCAGUUGGCGGGGUAACGGCCCACCAAACCAACGAUGGAUAGGGGUUCUGAGAGGAAGGUCCCCCACAUUGGAACUGAGACACGGUCCAAACUCCUACGGGAGGCAGCAGUGAGGAAUAUUGGUCAAUGGACGAGAGUCUGAACCAGCCAAGUAGCGUGAAGGAUGACUGCCCUAUGGGUUGUAAACUUCUUUUAUACGGGAAUAAAGUGAGCCACGUGUGGCUUUUUGUAUGUACCGUAUGAAUAAGGAUCGGCUAACUCCGUGCCAGCAGCCGCGGUAAUACGGAGGAUCCGAGCGUUAUCCGGAUUUAUUGGGUUUAAAGGGAGCGUAGGCGGGUUGUUAAGUCAGUUGUGAAAGUUUGCGGCUCAACCGUAAAAUUGCAGUUGAUACUGGCGACCUUGAGUGCAACAGAGGUAGGCGGAAUUCGUGGUGUAGCGGUGAAAUGCUUAGAUAUCACGAAGAACUCCGAUUGCGAAGGCAGCUUACUGGAUUGUAACUGACGCUGAUGCUCGAAAGUGUGGGUAUCAAACAGGAUUAGAUACCCUGGUAGUCCACACAGUAAACGAUGAAUACUCGCUGUUGGCGAUAUACAGUCAGCGGCCAAGCGAAAGCAUUAAGUAUUCCACCUGGGGAGUACGCCGGCAACGGUGAAACUCAAAGGAAUUGACGGGGGCCCGCACAAGCGGAGGAACAUGUGGUUUAAUUCGAUGAUACGCGAGGAACCUUACCCGGGCUCAAACGCAGGGGGAAUGCCGGUGAAAGUCGGCAGCUAGUAAUAGUCACCUGCGAGGUGCUGCAUGGUUGUCGUCAGCUCGUGCCGUGAGGUGUCGGCUUAAGUGCCAUAACGAGCGCAACCCUUAUCGAUAGUUACCAUCAGGUUAUGCUGGGGACUCUGUCGAGACUGCCGUCGUAAGAUGUGAGGAAGGUGGGGAUGACGUCAAAUCAGCACGGCCCUUACGUCCGGGGCUACACACGUGUUACAAUGGGGGGUACAGAAGGCAGCUACACGGCGACGUGGUGCUAAUCCCGAAAGCCUCUCUCAGUUCGGAUUGGAGUCUGCAACCCGACUCCAUGAAGCUGGAUUCGCUAGUAAUCGCGCAUCAGCCACGGCGCGGUGAAUACGUUCCCGGGCCUUGUACACACCGCCCGUCAAGCCAUGAAAGCCGGGGGUACCUGAAGUACGUAACCGCGAGGAGCGUCCUAGGGUAAAACUGGUGAUUGGGGCU
rnacentral:rRNA from 1 species